rnacentral:rRNA from 1 species
UACGGAGGAUGCGUGCGUUAUCCGGAUUUAUUGGGUUUAAAGGGUGCGUAGGCGGACUGUCAAGUCAGCGGUAAAAUUGAGAGGCUCAACCUCUUCCCGCCGUUGAAACUGGUGGUCUUGAGUGGAUGAGAAGUACGCGGAAUGCGUGGUGUAGCGGUGAAAUGCAUAGAUAUCACGCAGAACUCCGAUUGCGAAGGCAGCGUACCGGCAUCCAACUGACGCUGAGGCACGAAAGCGUGGGGAUCAAACAGG